rnacentral:lncRNA from 1 species
UAGCAACACAACAUGACAACAACAUGGUAGCAACACAACAUGGUAGAAGCACAACAUGUUAGCAGCACAACAUGGUAGCAGCACAACAUUAUUGGGCACAGACAACAGCACACAGGGCAAGAAGGUAGAGACAACAAUACAUCACGUGAAGCAGCCACAAGUGUUAGGAAGAUUAUCAACAUAGUUGUUUUCUAACAGCGAGGCAGCACUGCAUAGUGAAUGUGUCACAAUGUCUAAUUAUACAGUGUGUGAGUUUGUGUGUAUGUGUGUGUGUGUCUGUGUUUGUGUGUAUGUGCGUGUGUUUGUGUGUGUUCUUCAUUGUGACGUGACAGAAAAUUGGGGGAAAUUGUGUGUGUGUGAGAGAAAGAGAGAAAGAAAGAGUAGUGCACUGUUGUUUAUUAUCUAUUUCACUUGCUGUGGCAAUGUAAACGUGUUUGCCAUGCCAAUGAAGCCCUUAAAUUGAAUUGAGAGAGACGAAAAAGGCAACAAGGCAGAGACAAAGAGAGAAAAGGAAGAUAGAAUAAUGGAGAGUCAGAGAUAGCCAGAUCGAAGAGAGACAGAAGAGAAGGAGAGACACAAAUAGAACAGACAGAUUGAGAAAGAGACAAGAUUAGAGGGACAAAUGAGACAACAGAGAAAUACAACAUGAGGAACAGGUGACUGUGUCUGAGGAAGACGUGAUUAUAUCUGAGGAACAGGUGAUUGUGUCUUUGGAACACGUGAUUGUAUCUGAGGAACACGUGAUUGUGUCUUAGGAACAGGUGAUUGUGUCUGAGGAACAGGUGAUUGUGUCUGAGAAACAGGGGAUUGUGUCUGAGGAACAGGUGAUUGUGUCUGAGGAACAGGUGAUUGUGUCUUUGGAACAAGUGAUUGUGUCUGAGGAACAGGUGAUUGUGUCUUUGGAACAGGUGAUUGUGUCUGAGGAACAGGUGAUUGUGUCUGAGGAACAGGUGAUUGUGUUUUAGGAACAGGUGAUUGUGUCUGAGGAACACAUUAUUGUGUCUGACGAACAGGUGAUUGUGUCUUUGGAGCAGGAGAUCGUGUCUUAUUGACAGGUGAUUGUGCCUUAGGAACACCUGAUUGUUUUUGAGGCACAGGUGAUUGUGUCUGAGGAACAGGUGAUUGUUUCUUUGGAACAGGUGAUUGUGUCUGAGGAACAGGUGAUUUUGUCUGAGCAACAGGUGGUUGUGUCUUUGGAACAAGUGAUUGUGUCUGAGGAACAGGUGAUUGUGUCUGAGGAGCAUAUGAUUGUGUCUGAGGAACAGGUGAUUGUGUCUUUCGAACAGGUGAUUGUGUCUUUCGAACAGGUAAUUGUGUCUUUUGAACAGGUGAUCGUGUCUGAGGAACAGUUGAUUGUGUCUUUAGAACAGGUGAUUGUGUCUGAGGAACAGGUGAUUGUGUCUGAUCAACAGGUGAUUGUGUCUUUUGAACAGGUGAUUGUGUCUGAGGAACAGGUGAUUGUGUCUGAGCAACAGGUGGUUGUGUCUUUGGAACAAGUGAUUGUGUCUGAGGAACAGGUGAUUGUGUCUGAGGAGCAUAUGAUUGUGUCUGAGGAACAGGUGAUUGUGUCUUUCGAACAGGUGAUUGUGUCUUUCGAACAGGUAAUUGUGUCUUUUGAACAGGUGAUCGUGUCUGAGGAACAGGUGAUUGUGUCUGAGAAACACUUGAUUGUGUCUGAGGAACAGGUGAUUGUGUCUUUCUUUACAAGAACAGAAAGGGUCCAUUCAUGUCAGUCCUUCAUAUCGUACAUGACAUAUCCCAUUCCCUCUUGUUGCUUCCUCAUCAAAGAAAGACAGAGACAAAUAAGAAAAACUUUUACACGCCAAUCAAGUGGACAUUACAUUAUGUUUUCACUGGGUCUGUCCCAAGUGGCACCAUAUUCCCUUUAUAGUGCACUACUUUUGACCAGGGCCAAUAGGGAUCUGGUCAUGAGUAGUGCACUAUGUAAGUAAUAGGGUAUCAUUUGGGAUACAGCCUCAGUAUUCCACACUUUGUACUAGUUUUACUUUCUGGAGGAGAGGAAAUUUGUUUUCCAAAGAAAAGGUUCUGACUUUGAAGUUUUUGUGAGAUGGAGGGAACAGACAUUUCAUUGAAGUUGUCCUCCCUUGGCUUGGAAAAUAAAAACCUUAUAAAAGAACACUGGGUCUAGCUACUCUCAAAUGUAUCUUCCAUGAAAUGCAUAGAAAGGGAACUAACCAAGCUGCCAGAUAUGUGAAGGACCACGUUCCCUCUGUUUCUCCAGGCUCACAGUGCAAGAGAAAGAGUGUGUGUGUGUGUGUGUGUGUGUGUGUGUGUGUGUGUGUGUGUGUGUGUGUGUGUGUGUGUGUGUGUGAGUGUGUGUUCGUGAGCCAGAUCAGAGCUGUGCAAGCUCCUUUAACAUACUUUCUCAUCAGGGAUCACUUCA